rnacentral:rRNA from 1 species
UACGUAGGGUGCGAGCGUUAAUCGGAAUUACUGGGCGUAAAGCGUGCGCAGGCGGUGAUGUAAGACAGGUGUGAAAUCCCCGGGCUCAACCUGGGAAUUGCGAUGGAGACUGCAAGGCUAGAAUCUGGCAGAGGGGGGUAGAAUUCCACGUGUAGCAGUGAAAUGCGUAGAGAUGUGGAGGAACACCGAUGGCGAAGGCAGCCCCCUGGGUCAAGAUUGACGCUCAUGCACGAAAGCGUGGGGAGCAAACAGG